GCUGGGUGUUGUGGUAGGUGCCUGUAAUCCCAACUACUAGGGAGGCAGAGGCAGGAGAAUCGCUUGAGCCUAGGAGUUGGAGGUUGCUGUGAGCUGUGAUGCCACGGCACUCUACCAAGGGUGACAGCUUGAGUCUCUGUCUCAAAAAAAAAAAUUUAGGGUUGGAUUCCUUUUUUUUUUUUUUUUUUGAGAUGGAGCCUCAAGCUAUCCCCCUGGGUAGAGUGCCGUAGGAUCACAGCUCACAGCAACCUCCAACUCCUGGGCUCAAGCAAGUCUCCUGCCUCUG
rfam:Otolemur garnettii contig016216, whole genome shotgun sequence.